ACGGGCGCGCCCCCGCCGCCACCCAGACGCGCGGCCCCGUGCCGCGGCUCCGCCCCUGGCGCGACGCCGCGCCUAGCCGCCCCCGCAGUCCACGCCCCGGAGCCCGCCCCGCGGGCUCUAGCCGGGCUAGGAGUGGCUGGAAGAAGCUUCGGCAGUCGGCUGGGAGACUUGACUCCACUUCCGGGGCGUGGUCCCACCCCGGCAGCUAGUAGGUCUGAGGAGCGCUAGAAUGAGGGUGUUAGGCUAAAUGGCAAGCCCUAGUCAGUUGGAGUAGGACUUGAGUUGGAAAUUACGGUCUCACUGCCUACUAGUGCGAAAAGCACAUUUCUAGAGUGCUUCGCCGUCGCCGCCAGCCUUGAGUUGGGACUACCAGUCCGGGUUCUCAGGAGUCCAGGAAUGGGGGCGGGAGAGGGCGUUGUGGGAACAGUGGCAUGCUGGGAACUGUAGUAGCGUUGUCUCCACGUUCGCUGCAGAAAUAACCACUUCCAGAUGUGUCCUUCCAAAUGUCUUCCUAUGCAUUUAUAUACAGCACUAUUUGCAAUAGCCAAGACAUAGA